GACGAACGCUGGCGGCGUGCCUAAUACAUGCAAGUCGAACGGUUUAGUUCCAAGAGGCUUGCCUUUUGGAACUAGACAGUGGCGGACGGGUGAGUAACACGUAGGCAACCUACCUGUCAAACCGGGAUAACCUCGGGAAACCGAAGCUAAACCCGGAUAAGCUCCUUUUUCGCAUGAAGGGGGAGUGAAAAGGUGCGACCUGAUGACAGAUGGGCCUGCGGCGCAUUAGCUAGUAGGUAGGGUAACGGCCUACCUAGGCGAUGAUGCGUAGCCGACCUGAGAGGGCGUACGGCCACACUGGGACUGAGAUACGGCCCAGACUCCUACGGGAGGCAGCAGUAGGGAAUCUUCGGCAAUGGGCGAAAGCCUGACCGAGCAACGCCGCGUGAGUGAGGAAGGCCUUCGGGUUGUAAAACUCUGUUGUUUGGGAAGAAGGGGAAGGGUAGGACCCUUAGGUGACGGUACCAAACGAGAAAGCCCCGGCUAACUACGUG
rnacentral:rRNA from 1 species